rnacentral:lncRNA from 1 species
GAUAAUUUGUUUUUACCUUAAUUCCCCUUUUAUUUUUUAUGGAUAAUUUUUUGUAUUUCUGCUGCCUACCUCUCCUCCGCCCCGCUCCCACCACUUUUUAAACCUUAGUAUCUGUUGGGUGAACAGUAUAAGUAACGUUUUCAUCUGCUUUUAGAAUGUGAGAUAUUUCCAGUACCUACUUUUUUGCUGAAUCCAAAGUGGAAAGGUGUAAAUAUCAGUCAGCAGGAUGCUUAAUCAGUAUUUAAUGUCUGAGGUGAACUGGGGUGUAUGGGGUGGGCACUACAGAACAUAGU